rnacentral:lncRNA from 1 species
UAUUAUUCAAUCUUGCUUAAACUAAAACAGCUAACAUAUAUAUAUACAUACAAUGCAAUCACGCAUGCAAUAAUUAAAUGUAAAAGGGAAUGGGCAUCCUUGCUGCCCAUGAUGUAACUGACACGUCCAUGUUGUGCAUCCACCAUGUGCAAACCCUUUUUGACAAGGAUUAUGGUAUCCUCAUGCUGCUGUCCAAACUGUCCAGGAAUGUGCAUCCACAUGCUACAUUCCUGCUAUCCACCUUGUACAGAUUGAGUGAUUUCUGCUCCUUUAACACUCCCCCUCAAGUUGGAGCAUGAAUGUUUUGGAUGCCCAACUUGCUGAGAAGAGAAUGAAACGUUGCCUUUCCUAACGCUUUUGUAAAUAUGUCGGCCAACUGAUGCUUUGAAGGUGUGAACCUUGUUGCAAUCAUUCCUGAAUGUAACUUUUCUCGGACCAAGUGACAAUCUAAUUCGAUAUGUUUAGUUCGCUCGUGGAAUACUGGAUUAGCUGCAAUGUGUAAAGCUGCCUUAUUGUCACAGUAAACAUGAGCUGGAGCUGCAUGAGAGACCUGUAAAUCUUGUAACAGAUAACGAAGCCAUGUAAGUUCACAAGUGAUUGCAGCCAUUGAUCUAUAUUCUGCCUCUGCAGAUGAUCGUGAAACCGUAUGUUGUUUUUUAGUCUUCCAGGAGAUGAGUGAUUUUCCCAAAAACACACAAUAACCUGUCACGGACCUUCUAGUCGUUAGACAUGAUGCCCAUGAAGAAUCACAGUAACCACUCAAUUGUAAUGCAUCUGUAGAUGGAAAGAAUAGACCUUGUCCUGGAGUCCCUUUGAGGUAUUUCAAGACUCGUAUAGCAGCUUCAAGAUGAGGCUUGCGUGGUUGGUUCAUGAACUGGCUAAGGUUGUUGACUGAAAAUGUGAUAUCUGGCCUUGUUAUGGUGAGGUAAAUGAGUCGUCCCACGAUCCUUCUAUAUCUGGUUGGAUCCUUCAAUAACUCACCAUCCGUUGGCCUCAACUUCAAAUCUUGUUCCAUGGGAAAAUCCACCGGACAUGCCCCUAAUAGUCCAGCAUCAUCCAGUAUGUCCAAAAUAUAUUUCCUUUGUGAGAUAGAAAUGCCUUGUUGUGAACGAGCCACUUCGAUCCCAAGAAAAUAUUUGAGAGGUCCGAGGUCCUUAAUGCGAAACUGAUGAUGAAGGGAUUGUUUUAAACGUUGAAUAGCCUCAUGAUUGUUCCCUGUAAUGAUCAUGUCAUCAACAUAGAUGAGAACCACUGUAAUGGAAUGCGCAGUAGUGCAGGUGAACAAUGAGUAGUCUGCAGUUGAUUGUUUGAACCCCACGAGUUGAAUGGCUUGAGAAAAUUUUGAAAACCAUUGGCGGGAAGCCUGCUUCAAGCCAUAGAGGGAUUUAUGGAGUCGACAAACCAAGUUCUCCCCCUGUCGACGAAGUCCAGGUGGUGGAGACAUGAAAACUUCUUCGUCCAAAUCACCAUGGAGAAAAGCAUUCUGGACAUCGAGCUGGUGGAGGGGCCAGUGGCGUUGAGCUGCCACGGCUAAUAAACAACGAACAGUGGUAAGUUUGGCCACCGGUGCAAAUGUGUUAGAAUAGUCGAGGCCUUCAAUUUGCGAGUAACCUUUGGCAACCAAACGCGCUUUAUAGCGCUCUAUGGAGCCAUCAGAGCGAUGUUUGAUCUUGUAAACCCACUUGCUGCCGAUAGCACGUUUUCCAGGAGGCAGGGAAGUGAGUGUCCAGGUAUGGUUUUGUUCAAGUGCAGCAAGUUCAGACUGCAUGGCAGCUUGCCAAUGAGGAUCAAGGUGGGCCUGGGCAAAAAAAGUAGGUUCGACGCUACGAGUGAUGGUAUUGAUAAACACUUGGUGAGAUGGUGAUAAAUGAGAAGAAGAGAGAUAAUGAGAGAGUGGAUAGUGAGUACCUGACCGCGAAGAUGACGUGGACUUGGAAGGCGACGUGGUGACCUGUGAACAGUCAUAAUCCUUCAAUAAGACAGAAGGUUGCUUGGGGCGGAGGCCGCGACCAAGGGCAGGUGGUGGUGAGAUAGAGUUGACUGGACGUGGAGAAGGAAGAGGGGAUGGGGGCGACACAGGUGAUUGUGGCGACACAGGUGAAGGAGAAAAAGCGGUUGGACCAGAGAUGGUGGAAGAGGAGGAUUCUUGUGAAAAAAUGGAAGAAUCUGAGAUGGUGUCGGUGAGAGGAAGAGGGACGACGGGCACAACUUCAUCAGGUUGGGUGUCGGGAGGAUGAUGAGCAAAAGGAAAGAUGUGUUCAUGAAAAACCACAUCACGACUAGUAAAAAAUUGAUGAGUGUGAAGAUUGUAGAGACGAUACCCCUUUUGUCCAGAAGGAUAACCAACAAAGAGACAUUUGUGAACCCUGACAUCAAACUUGUGCUUAGGGGAGGUGUGUGUAGCAUAGCAAAGACACCCAAAAACCCGUAAGUGCAUAUAAGUGGAUGGGCGUGUGUUGAGCAUUUCAUAGGGUGUUUUUUUUGAUAAAACGAUGGUGGGUGUGCGAUUGAU